rnacentral:rRNA from 1 species
AGCAGCCGCGGUAAUUCCAGCUCCAAUAGCGUAUAUUAAAGUUGUUGCAGUUAAAAAGCUCGUAGUUGAAUUUCGGGAUCAAGGGAUCGGUCAUGCCUUGGUAUGUACUGGUCUUAUUGGUUCUCACCUUCUAAAGAACCAUAAUGUCAUUCAUUUGAUGUUAUGGGGAAUUAGGACUGUUACCUUGAAAAAUUAGAGUGUUUAAAGCAGGCUUACGCUUGAAUACAUUAGCAUGGAAUAAUGAAAUAGGACAUCCGAUUCUAUUUUGUUGGUUUCUAGGAUCGAUGUAAUGAUUAAUAGGGAUAGUUGGGGGCAUUAGUAUUCAAUUGUCAGAGGUGAAAUUCUUGGAUUUAUUGAAGACUAACUACUGCGAAAGCAUUUGCCAAGGAUGUUUUCAUUAAUCAAGAACGAAAGUUAGGGGAUCGAAGACGAUCAGAUACCGUCGUA